CCUACGGGGGGCUGCAGUAAGGAAUAUUGGUCAAUGGGCGCAAGCCUGAACCAGCAACGCCGCGUGGAGGAAGAAGGGUUUCGGCUCGUAAACUCCUUUUAGGUGGGACGAGACAGGACGGUACCACCUGAAUAAGUCUCGGCUAACUACGUGCCAGCAGCCGAGGUAAAACGGAGGAGACUAGCGUUAUCCGGAUUUACUGGGCGUAAAGCGCGUGCAGGCGGUUCAAUAAGUCAUAUGUGAAAGCACCUGGCUCAACUGGGUGAUGCCAUGUGAGACUGUUGAACUAGAGCGAGGUAGAGGCCAACGGAAUUCCGGGUGGAGUGGUGAAAUGCGUAGAGAUCCGGAGGAACACCAGUGGCGAAGGCGGUUGGCUGGGCCUACUCUGACGCUCAGACGCGACAGCAUGGGGAGCGAACGGGAUUAGAUACCCGAGUAGUC
rnacentral:rRNA from 1 species